rnacentral:rRNA from 1 species
UACGGAGGGUCCAAGCGUUAUCCGGAAUCAUUGGGCUUAAAGGGUCCGUAGGCGGUUUUGUAAGUCAGUGGUGAAAGCCCAUCGCUCAACGGUGGAACGGCCAUUGAUACUGCAAGACUUGAAUUACUAGGAAGUAACUAGAAUAUGUAGUGUAGCGGUGAAAUGCUUAGAGAUUACAUGGAAUACCAAUUGCGAAGGCAGGUUACUAACAAUAUAUUGACGCUGAUGGACGAAAGCGUGGGUAGCGAACAGG